ACUCGUGGCUUAAUGGUUAGCGAGUCCGACUUGUAACCCGAAGGUCACGGGUUCGAGUCUCGGGUCCAGCA